UACAAUCUUAGCAGAUAUUUAACCACCCUAACCAUAUUUUAAAAACAUUAAACUUACACAGUAAAGGAGAUUAAAUUUUUGUAAAACAUUAUCUGCCUAAAGUACCGUAAGGGAAAUUUUAAAUAAAUUAUACCACAGUAGCACUAAAACUACAUACCUUUUGUAUCAUGGUUUAACUAGAUUCUUAUCUUGGAAAUAGACCUCUCGAAAUCCAAUGCGCUACCUUACUUAAUUAUUAUAGUAAUUUAAAAAUAAUUGUAGCAUAAAUUUUUAAAUAAAGCAAGGAAGAAAUGAAAUUUUAUUCGUAUUGGAUGAUAGCUAGUUUUUCCUGAAACGCAUAAAAGUGCCCAGAAACACUAAAUAAUUAAAAAAAAUUUUUUAUUUAUUCUUGUAUCUACUAAACCUCUGAGGAUAAGCUCGGAAGUUAAAUCUAUAAUAUUCAGUUUUAAUUUAAAUUUAAGCUUGGAAAUAGCUAAAAUAUUUAAGUUUGUUAUAAUUUAUAAAGCAAACAGAAAAAUAAUAAAUUUAUUUACUACUAAGGAAAAUUAAUCUUAAACACCUAAGAUCAGUUUUUAUGUUAAAAUGAGUACUUACUAAUUUUAAUUAUUUAAUAAUAUACUUAUUUAAAUCUUAAUCUCAUUCUACUACAUAAUUUUUGUAAAGGAACUCGGCAAAUCUUGGCCCUGCCUGUUUAUCAAAAACAUGGCUCUUCGAGANAUCNACAUGAAGAGUCGGACCUGCCCAGUGAUAUAUAAAAUAUUUAACGGCCGCGGUACUCUGACCGUGCAAAGGUAGCAUAAUCAUUUGCUCUAUAAUUGAGGGCUGGAAUGAAAGGUUUGACAAGGGCCGCCCUGUCUCUACAAAAAUUACUGGAACUUACUUUUUAGGUGAAGAAUCCUAAAUAAAAUUAAAAGACAAGAAGACCCUAUCGAGCUUGAAACUUAUCUGUGAUAUCAAGAAAAUAGAAUAUAUUUCCUUUCAUGGAAAAUUUUGGUUGGGGCGACAGAGGAACAACAAAAGCUUCUUUUUACAUAAACAUAUAUUUAUAGAGAUCCACAUUUUUGUGAUCAAAAGAAUUAGUUACCGUAGGGAUAACAGCAUAAUCUUUUUAGAGAGUUCUUAUCGAAAAAAAGGUUUGUGACCUCGAUGUUGGACUAGAAUAUCCUGACAGGUGCAGAAGCCUUCAAGGGUUGGUCUGUUCGACCAUUAAAAUUCUACGUGAUCUGAGUUCAACCCGG
rnacentral:rRNA from 1 species